UACCAUGCAAGUCGAGCGGAACNNAGAGGAGCUUGCUCCUCUGCUGACGAGCGGCGGACGGGUGAGUAAUGCUUGGGAAUAUGCCUUAUGGUGGGGGACAACAGUUGGAAACGACUGCUAAUACCGCAUGAUGUCUACGGACCAAAGUGGGGGACCUUCGGGCCUCACGCCAUAAGAUUAGCCCAAGUGGGAUUAGCUAGUUGGUGAGGUAAUGGCUCACCAAGGCGACGAUCCCUAGCUGGUUUGAGAGGAUGAUCAGCCACACUGGGACUGAGACACGGCCCAGACUCCUACGGGAGGCAGCAGUGGGGAAUAUUGCACAAUGGGCGCAAGCCUGAUGCAGCCAUGCCGCGUGUGUGAAGAAGGCCUUCGGGUUGUAAAGCACUUUCAGUAAGGAGGAAAGGUUAAGUGUUAAUAGCACUUAGCUGUGACGUUACUUACAGAAGAAGCACCGGCUAACUCCGUGCCAGCAGCCGCGGUAAUACGGAGGGUGCGAGCGUUAAUCGGAAUUACUGGGCGUAAAGCGUACGCAGGCGGUUUGUUAAGCGAGAUGUGAAAGCCCCGGGCUCAACCUGGGAACUGCAUUUCGAACUGGCAAACUAUAGUGUGAUAG
rnacentral:rRNA from 1 species